GCGAGGUCUGGCAACAGUGUAGGGCAGGAGAGGCGUGAAGGGUCGCCAUCUUGGGCCGCUGUGAGCUGUGUCGCGCCUUUAUCGCCAUUUAUCCGCCCCAUCACGGUGCUGCAGCCGCCGGAGGGAGCUGUGAAGGCUGUGUCAUCCUCCCAGCGGCGCCAUUACCCCGGACUCUUGCCCUCCACCGCCAUCCAUCUUGACUUUUGACAAGGAUUUCUUUUGUUUACAUUGACCUCCUCCUCCUCCUCCUCCCGGUCCUUUUCCUCACCCAAACCGAAAAUGGGCAACCGGGACGACGAGUAUGACUAUUUAUUCAAAGUGGUGCUAAUUGGGGACUCUGGAGUUGGCAAGAGUAACCUCCUCUCCAGAUUUACCAGAAAUGAGUUCAACCUCGAGUCCAAAUCCACCAUUGGGGUUGAAUUCGCCACAAGAAGCAUAGAGGUGGACGGCAAGACGAUAAAGGCACAGAUCUGGGACACUGCUGGCCAGGAGCGUUACCGAGCCAUCACCUCCGCCUACUAUAGGGGUGCUGUGGGUGCCUUGCUGGUGUACGACAUCGCCAAACUCCUCACCUACACCAACGUCGAGCGCUGGCUGAAGGAGCUGAGGGACCAUGCUGACCAGAACAUUGUCAUCAUGCUUGUCGGCAACAAGUCUGACCUGCGCCACUUGCGGUCCGUGCCCACCGAGGAGGCCAAGGCGUUUGCUGAGAAGGAGGGUCUCUCUUUUAUCGAGACGUCCGCGUUAGACUCCACCAACGUCGAGACAGCCUUCCAUAACAUCCUCACAGAGAUUUACAGGAUCGUGUCGCAGAAGCAAAUCCGCGACCCCCAUGAUCGUGAUGACAGCCCCACGGCCGAUGUAAAGGCUAUACACGUGGAGCCGACAGUAAAUGCGGAGAGUGUGCGCAGGCAGUGUUGUCAGCAGUAGUGGGGGGGGCAUCGGGCGCUCUCUCCCCCCCCCUUCAAUGCUGCCUAUUCGGGAUUAAAGAGAACAGGAAAUCUACCGCAUAGUGUCACGGCAGCAACUCCCAGACAGCGGACCGAACGAACCUCCAGGCGGGAAGACGAUCACAGUCGAGCCCACCGUGUCCACCAGUGGGCCCUCCUCCAACAACUGCUGUGCCCGCUAGUCUCCUCCUCUCCUCCACCACACCACCUCCUCCUCCACCACCAUCACCACCCACCACCACCACUACUACCAGUAUCUCCACCACUCCUACUGUCGUCACUGCUGCUGCUUCUGUUAUCUAUACUUUUUUUUUCCUCCUCUAUUUUGAUUACCGCUGUUACUGUUACGCCAUGUUAUCACGCCGUCUGUGUUUCUCUACCUUAACUCUUUCCUCUUCUUCCUCUAUUCCAUUUUGCUGUGUCUCUGUAAUUCCCUGUUUUCUUGUUUAUAUUUUGUUUUGUUUUCCAUCUUCUCUCUUCCUUCACUAACUUCUCUUUCUCCUUUUUCUUCCAUAUUCUUUGUUUCCACUGUUCCAAGUUACUCUGUCUCUGUAAUUCACUGUUUACAUAUUCCGUCUCAUCUUCGUUCUAUAUCUUAUCUCUUCCUAUGCUAAUUUACGCGCUAUCAUGAUUUGCUUCUCUUUCUUUCUUUCUCCUUGUCCUCCUCAUCUUCUGGUUCCUCAAACCUUUAUUCUUGUCUCUUGUUUCCAUCUUUCUGAACUUAUCUUAUUUUUCACUUCUUCCUCUUCUGGCUCCUCUAAUCUUUACUCCUAUCCUGUUUUAUCUUUUUGUUUUGACUAGAUUCUCCUACAUCUCUUUCUCUCGUCCUCCUUCAUCUCUUCCUCCUCUUUAGUUUGUUUCUUGGAUGUUGUUUUUUUUCCUUUCCUCAAUAUUCUCCCUUUUCACUUUUCUCCUUCCCCCAACACCACCACCACCACCACCAGCACCGCCACACCCAGAAUAUCCCAGUUACAGUCUGUCCCAUUCAUUCAGUCUGUCAGUCACUCAGUCUCUUCCUUCCUUGCCCUGAAGAGCGAUACAGUUUGAUGGUUUGCCUGACGAGUCCAUAUCUGCCUUUCUCUCUUUGUUGUCCACCUCCUCCACCACUCUCACUGAUGCUGUAUGUGUGUGUGUGUAUGUGUGUGUGUGUGUAUGGUUAGGUGAAAGGGGAAAGGCAUUUGCUGGUCUCACACACACACGUGCAUACACACUCACACGCACACACACUUACACACACACACACACACACAUAUACAUGAAACUGGGGCUCUGAGGUUGUUCUGCCAAGGAGGAUGUGGGUAUAAAUAUAUAUAUAAAUAGUAUUGUUUGCUCACUAAUGAAUGCAAUCCCUGUUUAUACUUCUCCUAGUACUGUAUCUUCACUCUUCUCCUCCUCCUCCUCCUCGUCCUUCCUUCCUUUUACCCAUCACCCUCCUCCUCCCAUUAUUACCAGACUGGCUUCACACACACACCUCUCCUCCCUGUACCAAGUUGAUCACACCAGAGCCAUAGCAUUGGAAAGUCUGCCACCUUCAAUUCAGAGGCGCCUCAUUGCUACCGAGAGAGACACAUGAAAUUCAAAUUGCCGCUGAUACAAUUGUUUUUUCUGUGUUUACGUUUGCUGUGGGUAUAAUCAGGAUAUCGAAAAAGCACCUCGGGCAUGAAAAACACUAUUGUCAGUUUGGAUUUCAAGCGUCUCAUCUGGUAGCAACGUAGCGCCUGUGAUGAGAGUAACAACGCUCUUCUACGCCAUGGCUCUGCAUCACGACACCCUCCUCUACUUCUUCUUCCCUGUAAUUGAGGAUUGUGAUAACACUGUCCAUAUUCACAGCUAUGUAUAAUUAUCAGUGUUAGGGAACGAACGAACCCCGUGUGUCGAGAUUAAGUAAGGAAGGUGUGUGUUUGAUGGCUUGUACGUACGUGGCGUCCGAACUUGCACUCGGAAUUCUUUACUGUGGAAAAUCGAGUGAAGGGAAGAUUAAGUUGUCGGUAAUUGAUUUUUACAUCCAGAAAGUCGAACCAACAAAAACUUACCUGUAAAAUUUGACCGAAGAUUAAAUUAAUUUGUCUGUUGUUAAUUCUUGUAUCUGGAAGUUGAACCGAGACCAAAUAAGCUUCGUAAUCAACUUGUAUCAUCCACAACCAUAUAUGCUUGAUAGAUAGAUACAUAGGAGCAAAGAUAAAUAGAGAAAUAAAAUCUGGAAAAUAUCUAGCUCGGAAAAUUAAAAUGCAGACAAAAUUAAGCAGCCAGCUGUUAGUUCUUGUGUCUGGAAAGUCGAACCGAGACAAAAUUAACCUCGUAAUGAACUUGUAUCUGGAAAAUAUCUAGCAUGGAAAUUCUAACAAAACAUAAUUAACUUGUCUGUAAUUAGAAUUCUUGUAUCGUUAAAAUUGAACCAGACAAAAUUCUCCAUAAUUGAUAUAAACACUAAUUUGAUGGCAUGGGUUACUGACACCUUAUUAAUUGAUGUCUGUUAUUAGAGUUCUUGUAUCACUGAAAUUGAACUAAGGAUAAAAUUAACCUCCACAAUUGAUAUAAACACUAAUUUGACAGCACGGGUUACUGUCGUCUUAUUAACUGUUGGCUGUUAUUAGAGAUGGUAGAAUUGAACAAAGACAAAAUCAGCUUCUCCACAAUUGAUAUAAACACUAAUUUUAUGUCAUGGGUUACUGUCACCUUAAUAGCAGUGUAUUGAUGAGUGCUUGAGAGACUUGGAGCUAAUAUUUAAAAGAUGAAACUGAUAGAAGUGUUAAUAAGACCCUAAUCUGACCUAUAGGAGGGUUGGAAUGCAUCUGUUGUUUCCUUGAUCUUGAGUUACAUUAUUACCAACAGACAAAGAGGGAUAUAAAGGAACUGAUGUGAGGGUAAAUAAAGAACUUGAGCAAAUAUACAAGGUUAAUCCAAGACCCAAAGCUGACCAAUAAGAGGGUUGGAAUGCAUCUAUUGUUUCCUUGAUCUGGAGUUACAUUAUUACCAACAGAAAAAGAGGGAUAUAAAGGAACUGAUGUGAGGGUAAAUAAAGAACUUGAGGUUAAUCUAAGACCCAAAGCUGACCAAUAAGAGGGUUGGAAUGUAUCUUGUUUCCUUGAUCUGGAGUUACAUUAUUACCAACAGACAAGUGAUAUAGAAGAACUGAUGUGAGGGUAAAUAAAGCACUUGGGCAAAUACAUAAGAGGUUCAUCUAAUAAGUCUUUUUUAAUUCUUCUCUUCCUUGUUCUCAUCCUCCUUCUCUUCUGGUUCCUCCAAUCUUUACUCUUUUCUGUAUUAUUUUUCCACCUUUAUGUCUUUGUUAGAUUCUCCGAUGUUCCUCUUUUUUUUCUUUCCUUCCUUUUCAUUCUUCUUCCUAUAAGCCACCUAAGAAAGCCUCCCUUAAUUCUUUCCUUCCUUCUCAUUCUUCAUCCUAUAAGCCUCUAAGAAAGCCCCCCUUAAGGACUUCUCAUUCUUCCCCUUCUUGUAACCUCAUAAGAAAGACCCCCUUAAUUCUUACAUUCCUUCUCAUUUUUCUCCUUAUAAGCUCCUAAGAAAGACCCCCUUAAGGACUUUUCAUGCUUCUCCUAUGCCUUUUCACUUCUUAUAAGCUCCUGAGAAAGACCCCCUUGAGGACUUUUCACUCUUCUUAUAAACUCCUGAGAAAGCUCCCCCUUGAGGACCUUCCAUUCUUCUCCUUAUAAGCUCCGAAGAAAGCCCCACUUGAGCGCAUACGAGCCAUCCAACACACACCUAAGCAAUGGGGGUGCGAGGCCACACAGUACCAUUACCAUAACAUAGGCAGGCUUGCAGUGGGUGGGUGGGACAGGUUAGCUAGCCAUGUUUUGUUAUAGCUGAAAAAAAAAUGUUUAUAUAUAUGAUUAAGCUUAAACUGAAAGAGAGAGUAAGUAAGAGAGAGAAAAGCUUGUGGAUUGCUGUACUAUAUUUACAACUAUUACUAUGUCUACUACUAUUAUUAUUGCUAUUAUUAUUAUGAGUAUGUUUUUUGGUGAUUCUGUAUAUUGUUUUUUUUUUUCUUCCACUUUCGCUCCUGUCAGGUUUAAAUCGUCUAUUGUCGCCAGCGAGUGAGUUUGUUCGUUUAUUAUUUUUCCUUUCCGAGUCAGAAUUGGACCAAAGUGUGAUAAUUAUUAUACUUGAGGCAAAUUUUUAAGUAAGUUGAGAUAAUAAUAAUAAUGUGUUGCUGCCCAAAGGUUAGAUAAAUAAAUGUGGCAAAAAGAUCAUGAGAGAGAGAGAGAGAGAGAGAGAGAGAGAGAGAGAGAGAAUGAGUUGAAGUAUGUGGAUUUUAAGCAUAACAAAAAGAAAUUAAGAAUGAAUUGUUAACUUACCAUAUUUUGAGUGUACAGUGAGAGAGAGAGAGAGAGAUUGAAAUGUGUGUAUCUUAAGCAUAACAAAAAAAAAAAAAAAAAUUGUUAACUUACCAUAUUUUGAGUGUACAGUGAAAGAGAGAGAGAGAGAGAGAGAGAGAGAGAGGGAUGAAAUGUGUAUCUUAAGCAUUGCAAAAAGAAAUUAAGAAUGAAUUGUUAACUUACCAUAUUUUGAGUGUACAGUGAGAGAGAGAGAGAGAUGUGUGUAUCUUAAGCAUUGGAAAAAGAAAUUAAGAUUGAAUUGUUAACUUACCAUAUUUUGAGUGUACAGAGAGAGAGAGAGAGAGAGAGAGAUGUGUAUCUUAAGCAUUGGAAAAAGAAAUUAAGAUUGAAUUGUUAACUUACCAUAUUUUGAGUGUACAGAGAGAGAGAGAGAGUUGAAAUGUGUCUGUCCAAAGAUUAAAUAGACUGAACUUGGUAAAAAAGAUUAAGAAAAAAAUUGUUAUCGUAUCUCAACUGUAGAGAGAGAGAGAGAGAAAAUCCUAUCCCAUCCUAUCCCUUUUUUGCAUCUACAUUUUGGGUGAUCCAGGAAACACACACAUCUCUCUUAUCCCUUCUUGCAAACACCAGAUAUUUCCUUCAUUUUCCUUAGUCCAUGUUUAGUAUUACACCGGGAACAGUUACCAUUCCUCUGUCACGUUGCUCUUGUCAGUGAAGCAAAGGGUGCCCCAGGAACUGCUGCCGGGGUGAAAGGAAAGGGUCAAAUGUGAUAUACUUGUGUGACUUAGAGCAAGAAGGGAGGCCGGGUGAAGGUGUUGUUCUGUCCUGGGGUUCUGUAUGAUUAAUGAUGAUAAUAAUAAUAAUGGUAAUAAUAAUGACAAUAGUGUUUAUGAAAUAUUUAGUUAGACCAUUUUUUUCAACCACCACCACCAUCACCACUACUACUACUACUACUACUACUACUACUACUACUACUACUACUACUACUACUACUACUAUUACCACUAUUACUACUACUACUACUACUACUACUACUACAAUCUUAAUGGUAGAAAGUUAAAAGGAAUACCAUACACACACACACACACACACACACACACACACCCCUUAUCAUAUCUUAAUCUUAGUUAUAGUGACAAUCUUUUUUAUUAUUUUUUUAUCAUGUCAAGAGUAACCACUAUAUUAAACACAACCCAUAUGCCUGAGAGUGAGUGUGUGUGUGUGUGUGUGUGUGUGUGUGUGUGGCUAGAGUCUUGAGUUGAAGGAUUUGUUUGUUUGUUUGUGUGUGUGUUUUCCGUCCUUGGCUGUUGGUGGUCUAUUGAUGUUACUGUUCAUUUCGCCUUUUUUUGUUGUUUUGUUUUCUUUCUUUUAUUUUCAUCGCUAUCCCUUUCUCUUUAUUUUAUCUCCCUCAUGUAUUUGUCGACAUUACCAUUAUUAUUGCUACUCAUUCUUCCUCUUUGUUUCAUUUUUAUUUUCUCCUUUCCUUCUCUUAGCUCCAUUUAUCAUUAUUAUUAUCUUUGCCUUUAUUUACUUGUGUGUGUGUGUGUGUCAAGGUAUAUUGAUCACUCCUUUCCUCCUCCUACUUCUCUCCUUUUUUUUUCUAUCUUUUCCUUUAGCUAACUUAUUGCCAUCUCCUCCUCUUUCUCUCCUUUCUUCCUCUUUUCCUCCUUCUCUUUCUUUUUUUUCUAUCUUUUCCUUUAGCUAACUUCUUGCCAUCCCUUCCUCUUUCUCUCCUUUCUUCCUCUUUUCCUCCUUCUCUUUCUUUCUUUUUUUUCUAUCUUUUCCUUUAGCUAACUUCUUGCCAUCUCUUCCUCUUUCUCUCCUUUCUUCCUCUUUUCCUCCUUCUCUUUCUUUUUUUUUCAAUCUUUUCCUUUAGCUAACUUAUUGCCAUCCCUUCCUCUUUCUCUCCUUUCUUCCUCUUUUCCUCCUUCUCUUUCUUUUUUUUUCUAUCUUUUCCUUUAGCUAACUUCUUGCCAUCCCUUCCUCUUUCUCUCCUUUCUUUCUCCUUCCCUCCUUCUCUCUCUCUCCAUUCUCUGUUUUGUCUCUUCCUUCAGCUAACAUAUUGCUAUCCCUUCCUCCUCCUCUUCCUUUUCUCUCUCUCUCCUCCUUUUUGUCUCCUUCUCUUUCAUCUUUUCCUUCAGCUAACAUUACUCUCCCUUCCUCUUCCUCUCCAAUCUCUCUCCUUUCCUCCUCCUCUUUCCUUUUUCUCUUUAUUUUGUCUUUUUUCAGGUAACAUCACUAUUCCUUCCUCCUCCUCUCCUUUCUCUCCUUUUUUCCUUUUUCUCACUAUUUUGUCUUUCCCUUUAGCUAACUUCCUAUUCUCCCUUCCUCUUCCUCUCCUCUCUCUCUCUCCUUUCCUCCUCUUUCUCUCCUUUUUUUCUCUAAUUCAUCUUUUCCUUCAUCUAACUUACCACUUUCCCUUCCUCUUCCCUCUCCUACCCUUCACCUAACCCCUAUAUUAUCAUUACCAUUUCUAUUAUUAUUUACGAUGUACGACUCCAGGUGAACCGAGGGCAUAAAGGUGUGUCUCGUUAGCUAUCCAGGUGGUGGUGUUCGGGGCUCAGGUGGUGAUGGUAGAUAAUUUAGCCCACCUAAGGAUGAGAGGAUUAGUUACCUGUAGGACAUUAAGGAAGAAAGAUUGGACCAUAUGAGAGAGAGAGAGGAUGUUAGUCUAUUAUGAGAGAGAGAAAGGGGAGGGGGGGUUAGUCUAUUGUCACCUUCAUAAUUAAACUGCCUAAGUAAUUUUUUUUCUACUCUCGAUAAUUAGAAACAAACUCAUUUUCUGAUUCUUCUCUUCUGGCUACUCAUUUCUAUUCUCUCCUGUUCUCUUCUUUUUUAUAUGCAAACUGCCUCAGUAAUUUUUUUCUUUUUUUCAGAUAAGUAAAAACAAACUCAUUUUCUGAUUCUUCUUUUCUGGUUCUCAUUCUUCUCUUCUGGCUACUCAUUUCUAUUCUCUCCUAUUCUCUUCUUUUUUAUAUGCAAACUGCCUAAGUAAUUUUUUUCUUUUUUUCAGAUAAGUAAAAACAAACUCAUUUUCUAAUUCUUCUUUUCUGAUUCCAGUUUUUCUCUUCUAUUCUCUUUUUUUUAAUCUUUUUUUGGCCUUUGAACUGGAAAAAAACACUCAUUUUCAAAUUCUUCUCUUACCUUAUUUCUAUUCCCUUUUCUAUUUUCUCUUCUUUAUCUAUUUUGCCCUUUCUCUUCUUCCUUUACUCUAAAAAGUGUAAGGGCUUACGGGAUAGGCAGAAAUGUUAAGGCAAAUAUUACACCACUCACACCUUCAAUAACAAAAACAACCCUACCAAAAGGUGCGCCAGAAGCUAAAAAAUGAAAUGCACCCAAAAUCUCAAAAUCCGAAAAUUGUUGCAAAAAAUGACUUAGGGCAGUUUAUUGACGAGGGUGACGGCAGAUGAUGACGACGAUGAUGAUGAUGCCUCUGUUAUUGUAUAUCCUAUAGACUGUUUUAUAUGGGUUGACAUAAUCAUUGGGAGACAUAAGUUAGUUUGUAUGUAAGUAAGUGCUUGAGAUGACUUUCCAUGGUGACUUUGAACCUAAAAAUAAAUACUAGAUGAAAAAUAUAGAUAUAAUAGAGUACCUCAUCCACACACACACACACACACACACACACACACACACACACACACACUGUAAUACUUGAGUACGAAAUUAGCAAGCAAAUAUCCAAGACACACACACACACACACACAGACACACACACACACACACUGUAAUACUUGAAUGCGAAAUUAGCAAGCAAAUAUCCAAGUUCUCGGCUUCUUAAACUUUGCCGCUGUCGGAUUUAUUUAUUUAUAUGUUUUGCACAGGUUGUAUGCCAGAGAGUAACUUAAGAAGACACACUUACAUGCAUCCCUGGAGUGAAAGACAUGUAUAGUCCUGGUCGCAAGUACAGAUUCUGAUGAUACGUAAAGGAAAUCAAUCAUACCGUAACUGUACCGCCAUUUUCUUUUUUUGUGUGGUUUCAGCAUUCAUUCAGUAAGUCUAAAAGAAAGGUCAAGUGUAUGUAGUCCUGGUUUCUGUCACGCUUGGCUAGAGGCGUUUUGUAAAGCAGUGUUAAGAGGUGCACAUUGUUUGCAAUAAAAUGAUGCUAAACGAUAUAUAUCUACAAACUUUA